UCCGUAGGGACCAAGCGUUGUUCGGAUUUACUGGGCGUAAAGGGCGCGUAGGCGGCGUGGUAAGUCAGCUGUGAAAUCUCCGAGCUUAACUCGGAACGGUCAGCUGAUACUGCUGUGCUAGAGUACAGAAAGGGCAAUCGGAAUUCUUGGUGUAGCGGUGAAAUGCGUAGAUAUCAAGAGGAACACCUGAGGCGAAGGCGGGUUGCUAGGCUGAUACUGACGCUGAGGCGCGAAAGCUAGGGUAGAAAACGGG
rnacentral:rRNA from 1 species